CCCGCUAUAUGUUAUUCUAUAAUAAAUGUUAUUUUUAACUAGUAUUAGUUCAAAUAAAUGCAAAUUUUCCAGAUCUACAAUAUAUUUCAUAAGGCAUUUUACUAUUUUUAAAAGGGAGUUCGCUUCUCAGUUUCAAAGUAAUUAACUUUUCAAGACACAGGUUGAUAUACAUAGUAGAUUAAUAAAGGAAUCCAAAGAGCAAACAAAAUAUAUAGGUCACUGUGCUUGUUUUCAAGAUAUAAGCCAUUGAAAUAUUGGCGGGAAAAUAUUCUCUCUUGACUUUUCAUAGCUUUAUCAUUGACAAGUUGAAGUUCUAAAAAACUGUUAAAAAGUAAUUAAAAAUUUUACAAUACUUUUACAGAUGGCUAAUAAUUAUACAUGUAAAAGAUUUACAAAAAGAAAAAUGGGGGUCACUGGGCAAAUUUUUCCAAGGCAUUCAAAUGAAUAAAACCAGAGGAUUCCGAAAAUCUGACAAAAAAUCUAAAACAUGUUUCUCUUCUGAUUUAUUAACUGCACCUGCAAAGUGGAAAGGGA
rnacentral:lncRNA from 1 species